rnacentral:rRNA from 1 species
UACGUAGGGUGCGAGCGUUGUCCGGAAUUAUUGGGCGUAAAGGGCUCGUAGGCGGUCUGUCGCGUCGAAAGUGAAAACUCAGGGCUUAACCCUGAGCCUGCUUCCGAUACGGGCAGACUAGAGGUAUGCAGGGGAGAACGGAAUUCCUGGUGUAGCGGUGGAAUGCGCAGAUAUCAGGAGGAACACCGGUGGCGAAGGCGGUUCUCUGGGCAUUACCUGACGCUGAGGAGCGAAAGUGUGGGGAGCGAACCGG